rnacentral:tRNA from 1 species
GCUUUCGUGGUGUAGUGGUCAGCACGCUCGACGCGUAACCGAGAGAUCUGUGGUUCGAUUCCCGGCGAAGGCC